UGGAAGUGUCGCGUUAGGUUGACAGUGUUCGAAAAAUGUCGUGUCAACUGCUUAAUUACCAGUUUCUUCGCAUUUUAUGACUUCAAGAGAACAGGAAUCCGUAGACGAUAUGAGUUAAUAAUAAUCUAUUUCUAUCGGAAAAUCUUCGAUUUAUGAUAACGAAGAGAGAUGUUUAUUAUAUUGCAUCCAGAAUACAACUACAACUACAAUAUAAGGAGAAGAAAAAAUAUAAAACUUAUUUAAAUAUAAUAUUUAACUUUAUUAACUAAUAUUUGACUUUUUCACUGGUCCUCCUCCAUCUCCUUCCCAAAUAUCUUUAUUUUUUUUAUAUUUGUGACUGCGCGCAAUGCAGUCUGUAGAGUCAGUAUUUUCUGCGUAAAGUUACUUUACAUAUUUUUCAGUGUACGAUAGUUCUUAACAAUAUAAUGUAAUUUUAAUCGGAAUUCAUACAUGUAAUUAGAGUUAGUGUUUGUCAGUAGUUUUUUAUUUUUCUUUUUUUAAAUAUUUAUAGUGAUAUUAGUCAGUGCUCAAGAGGAUAAAGCCUCUCCAGGAAUUCAAGAAUGUAAGUAUUUUUGUACAUUGAUUCUAAUUUAGAUAUUUGAAUUUUUUUCCCAAACGAAGUCUUAGAUUUCU